CUCAAAAGAACAAUAAAAACAUAUUUAUAUAAACAAACAAAUGUCGAGCUUUCCACAACAAUAGAUUCCAUGGAUGGAUGGACAUAUUAACCGGUAUUAACAUAGAUUAAAAAGAAAUUAAAUUAAUAAUAUAUUUAUAAAAUUCCUCUCGAUUUCACUUCCUUGCGAGCACGCCAUCUUGACCUUUGUCACAUGGUAUAAAAUGGUAGAACCAGGGGAUUCCAUUGGACAAAAUGGUACAAAAUAGUCCAAAAUGGCCGCAG